rnacentral:sRNA from 1 species
UCAUGGAUUCCUACUCAAAAUGUGGUC